AUGAACGCUGGCGGCGUGUCUAAGGCAUGCAAGUCGAACGGGUACGGCCCGCAAGGGUCGUGCUAGUGGCAAACGGGUGAGUAACACAUUGGUAACCUACCUCAAAGUGUGGAACAACCCUCCGAAAGGAGGGCUAAUACCACAUGCGGUUUUCUGACAUAUGUCAGAAAAAGAAAGGCUCGCAAGAGUCGCUUUGAGAGGGGCCUAUGGCUUAUCAGCUAGUUGGUGAGGUAAUGGCUCACCAAGGCUAUGACGAGUAGCGGGCGUGAGAGCGCGACCCGCCUCAGUGGAACUGAGACACUGUCCACACUCCUACGGGAGGCUGCAGUCGAGAAUAUUCCCCAAUGGACGAAAGUCUGAGGGAGCGACGCCGCGUGCAGGAUGAAGGCCUUCGGGUUGUAAACUGCUUUUCUCUGGGAUGAACACUGACCGUACCAGAGGAAUAAGAGGUUGCUAACUCUGU
rnacentral:rRNA from 1 species